UUUCGGUCAAUGGAAGAGGUUACUUAGUGGCGGACGGGUGAGUAACGCGUGAGGAACCUGCCUUUCAGAGGGGGACAACAGUUGGAAACGACUGCUAAUACCGCAUAAUAUAUGUUUGUCGCAUGGCAGAUAUAUCAAAGAUUUAUCGCUGAGAGAUGGCCUCGCGUCUGAUUAGCUAGUUGGUAGGGUAACGGCCUACCAAGGCGACGAUCAGUAGCCGGACUGAGAGGUUGGCCGGCCACAUUGGGACUGAGAUACGGCCCAGACUCCUACGGGAGGCAGCAGUGGGGAAUAUUGGGCAAUGGGCGCAAGCCUGACCCAGCAACGCCGCGUGAAGGAAGAAGGCUUUCGGGUUGUAAACUUCUUUUAAGAGGGAAGAGCAGAAGACGGUACCUCUUGAAUAAGCUCCGGCUAACUACGUGCCAGCAGCCGCGGUAAUACGUAGGGAGCGAGCGUUGUCCGGAUUUACUGGGUGUAAAGGGCGUGCAGCCGGGAGUACAAGUCAGAUGUGAAAUCCCGCGGCUCAACCGCGGAACUGCAUUUGAAACUGUAUUUCUUGAGUACUGGAGAGGCAGACGGAAUUCCUAGUGUAGCGGUGAAAUGCGUAGAUAUUAGGAGGAACACCAGUGGCGAAGGCGGUCUGCUGGACAGCAACUGACGGUGAGGCGCGAAAGCGUGGGGAGCAAACAGGAUUAGAUACCCUGGUAGUCCACGCUGUAAACGAUGGAUACUAGGUGUGCGGGGACUGACCCCCUGCGUGCCGCAGUUAACACAAUAAGUAUCCCACCUGGGGAGUACGAUCGCAAGGUUGAAACUCAA
rnacentral:rRNA from 1 species